GAUGUGAUGGGGAGCGAAAUUUAGUAGCGAAGUAGCUGAUUUCACACUGUCAAGAAAAGUCUCUAUCGAGGUUAAAGGUACCCGUACCGCAAACCGACACAGGUGGGUGAGGAGAGUAUCCUAAGGCCAGCGAGAGAACUGUUGUUAAGGAACUCGGCAAAAUGACCCCGUAACUUAGGGAUAAGGGGUGCCACCAUCAGGUGGCCGCAGAGAAUAGGCCCAAGCGACUGUUUACCAAAAACAUAGGUUUCUGCU
rnacentral:rRNA from 1 species